ensembl:lncRNA
GACGUCUGUUUAGAAAAGCAACAUGAAUUCUUCUGUCCGGAGGGGGAAAUUCAUAAAUCUCUAAAUGAGCUGACAGACUGUGGAGCUUCAAAGAAGUUGGAGAAAGCCAGAGUCUUGUGCCCUGUGUUUAUCAGUAUCCUUAUGUCCAUUGGGUGAAAAAGAACAGCUCAGUAAACAAAGUAAAAAAUAAUUUGACUGAUAUCUUCCCCCCCAAGGUUUCUAUAAAUAUCGUGAUAUAUCUAUAUCGUGAAUUCGUAUGGUCACAAUAACCGUGAUAUGAAAAAUCUAAUAUCGUGACUAAUCCUGACCUUAAAAAGAAUUUGAAUUUAUGAAUGACCUUUCUAACUGCAUCAGUGGCAUUCCAAAGCAGGGUGAACAGACAGAAAAUAGAACUGAUACCAUUCCAUAUCAAAAGGAGAAGAAAUUCCUACAGCACAGAGAAGCCUCAUUCAGGGAAUCACGUUUGCCACGGACAAAAGCUCUGGCCCUGGGCCAGAAGCCUUUGGGGAAUUCAGCUAAACCUAGGGAACAUUGACAUCCAGCAUGUACCCGUGAUCUGAGAGUCAUCAGCAAUAUUUCCACUUUCUAGAAGACAUAAUGUAAUACAUCAUUCUGACAGAAUGAAACACUGUCUAAGAACAGAAUUACACAUAAAUAUAUGAGACAAGAUGUUUAUAGGUAAGAAUCUGCACCAUGCAGCUGGUGCGAAGACAGUCAUAUGAUUAUGAGUCAUGUAAUAAUCAAUAAGGCCAUUAAUUCAGUCCACUAAGAGACAGAUCAUUAAAAAUGCAAGCUGGUUUGGAGAGGAGACACCUCUGAAUUACAUAAAUCACUUUCAGAUGAGAAGGGAGAGGAAAACUAUGUUUGACCAACUCUCACACAAGGACAUUCCAGUCUGCUUACUUCAUUCACUAGACUGAAUAAAUCACCAAAACUUGGUGAAAUCA